rnacentral:rRNA from 1 species
GACGAACGCUGGCGGCGUGCUUAACACAUGCAAGUCGAGCGGAGUGGCGAACGGGUGAGUAACGCGUGAGUAACUGCCCCCCUCUCUGGGGAAACAGUUGGAAACGGCUGCUAAUACCGGAUAGUGGGGGAUGGAUCGGGUCCAAUCAGCUUGUUGGUGGGGUAGUGGCCUACCAAGGCGACGACGGGUAGCCAGCCUGGGCGGGGGACCGGCCACAUUGGGCGAGGAGACGGAGCAAACGCCUACGGGAGGCAGCAGUGGGGAAUAUUGCACAAUAGGGGAAACCCUGAUGCAGGAACGCCGCGUGCGGGAUGACGGCCUUCGGGUUGUAAACCGCUUUCAGCCAUGACGCGGUAGUGGCAGAAGAAGCACCGGCUAACUACGUGCCAGCAGCCGCGGUAAUUC